CCUACGGGAGGCAGCAGUGAGGAAUAUUGGUCAAUGGACGCAAGUCUGAACCAGCCAUGCCGCGUGCAGGAUGACGGCUCUAUGAGUUGUAAACUGCUUUUGUAAGAGGGUAAAAGCAGAUACGUGUACCUGUCUGAAAGUAUCGUACGAAUAAGGAUCGGCUAACUCCGUGCCAGCAGCCGCGGUAAUACGGAGGAUUCAAGCGUUAUCCGGAUUUAUUGGGUUUAAAGGGUGCGUAGGCGGUCGGAUAAGUUAGAGGUGAAAUCCCGAGGCUCAACUUCGGAAGUGCAUUUGAUACUGGUGAUCGAGAGAGGAGAUGCGGUAGGCGGAAUGUGUGGUGUAGCGGUGAAAUGCUUAGAGAUCAUACAGAACACCGAUUGCGAAGGCAGCUUACCAAUCUAUAACUGACGUUGAGGCACGAAAGCGUGGGGAGCAAACAGGAUUAGAUACCCUGGUAGUC
rnacentral:rRNA from 1 species